rnacentral:rRNA from 1 species
UCUUUUACCAAACAUAUGCAAAUCAAAUCACGUCUUAUAAUAAGAAGAAAUCUUUCUCGGUAUCAAUCCCCUUGCCCCUCAUUCUUUGAGAAUCAGAACGAUCCUUUUCGAGUUUCCAUUAAAAAGAGCUUUUGUUUCCUCUCAUCGAGAUAG